rnacentral:rRNA from 1 species
CCUACGGGAGGCAGCAGUAAGGAAUAUUGGACAAUGCUCGCAAGAGUGAUCCAGCCAUGCCGCGUGCAGGAAGAAUGCCCUAUGGGUAGUAAACUGCUUUUGAACUAGAGAAAACCCCAGUACGUGUACUGGGCUGAUAGUAUAGUUAGAAUAAGCAUCGGCUAACUUCGUGCCAGCAGCCGCGGUAAGACGAAGGAUGCAAGCGUUAUCCGGAUUCAUUGGGUUUAAAGGGAGCGUAGGUGGACUGAUAAGUCAGUGGUGAAAUCUCCGAGCUUAACUCGGAAAUUGCCAUUGAUACUGUUGGUCUUGAGUACAGUUGCUGUGGGCGGAAUAUGACAUGUAGUGGUGAAAUACAUAGAGAUGUCAUAGAACACCGAUUGCGAAGGCAGCUCACAAAGCUGUAACUGACACUGAGGCUCGAAAGUGGNGGAGUACAACAGAGUAGUAUACCUACGUAGUACGUCACCGUAACG